rnacentral:rRNA from 1 species
ACGAACGCUGGCGGCGCGCUUAACACAUACAAGUCGAACGGAAAGGCCUGCUUUCCCUUGUGGAUUGCGGGUACUCGAGUGGCGAACGGGUGAGUAACACGUGAGUGAUCUGCCCCCAACUUGGGUAUAAGCCUGGGAAACUGGGUCUAAUUCCCGAUAGGACUGCAGGGUGGUGCCUGUGGUGGAAAACGAUUUUCUAGUGGUUGGGGAUGAGCUCGCGGCCUAUCAGCUUGUUGGUGGGGUAAUGGCCUACCAAGGCGGCGACGGGUAGCCGGCCUGAGAGGGUGGACGGCCACAUUGGGACUGAGAUACGGCCCAGACUCCUACGGGAGGCAGCAGUGGGGAAUAUUGCACAAUGGGCGGAAGCCUGAUGCAGCGACGCCGCGUGGGGGAUGACGGCCUUCGGGUUGUAAACUCCUUUCGACCGCGAGGAAGCCACCUGGUUGGAAGGGUGGUGACGGUAGUGGUAGAAGAAGCACCGGCUAACUACGUG